ensembl:lncRNA
GUGAGGGGUAUGAACAUCGUGUGGAUGUUCCUGAAGAUAAGCUGGUCAGUGGGGAUUGUUCCCUGGUGUUGAAGGAUGUCAGACUAAAUGAUUCAGGUCCAUAUGAGAGCUACCUGCUGGAGAGACGAAGGAGGAGGUCCCUCCACUCUAAACGGGUUUUCAUCCAGGCUGUGGAGCUCUCAGUGGAGGAAUCGCCUAAAGAGAUUUAUGAAAAUGUCGCAGAAACACGAAUAAUUGAAGAGAUUUCCAAUUUAAGGCGAGCUGUAAUAGCUGUGUCAAGUAAUGCAGGAAUGAUCCAGACUUCCUCACAGAUCACAGUGUUCAUCCUCCUUACAAACAUCUUCUGUCAUAGCAUCUGAAGAAAUACAAAGCAUGGAUGCUUUUAUAGAAAUGCUGUCUGAUUCUUCCUGUUCUGUUACAAGUUCAAUGUAACCUUUAAUGCCUUUGAAUUAGUGUAGAGCCCCACCUUGUGGUGUAUCGUAGAAUCUGUCUAUGCUUCUGUUUCCUGUUAAAACUGAGGUUAUACAGGAAGUGAAUUGCUAUAACACAUGGAGAGGAGGCAGCCAGUACUAGUUCAUGUGCUUCAAUCUGCUUUCAUCCUGCUCUUUGAUGGCAUUCUCUGUAUGUAUAUACAUAUAUAUUAUGUUCUUACUAAUUCUGCAUCAGUAUAAGCUAGUAUUUUUAUGCUUCAAGAUGUUAUUGUUAGCUAGAGUGAUGCAUGUCUGCUUUAAAUUGGUGGUUGGAUAGUGUAGUGGUGGUGGUUGGUUAGUGUAGU